UUCAGUUCGGCAGCCUUGGGAGUAAUGUUGUUUGGUGGAGCUCCUUCUCCAGGAAUAUUUCAGAGCAUACAACAGUUAAUCACCUUCAAAAACUGCUGCUACCUCAGUGAAAGGAAAGAAAUGUCCUUCCUCUUUACUGUCACAUCUUUGACUUCAAAAAGAUCAGAUCAACAAUCUCUGUCCUUGCUCCAAAAAAAAGCUUCUACUUUCUUAAUCCCACCAUGACUGACAGU